rfam:Loxodonta africana unplaced genomic scaffold scaffold_23, whole genome shotgun sequence.
UGGCAUAGUGGUUAAGUGCUAUGGCUGCUAACCAAACGGUUGGCAGUUCGAAUCUGCC